rnacentral:rRNA from 1 species
UACGGAGGGGGCUAGCGUUGUUCGGAAUUACUGGGCGUAAAGCGCGCGUAGGCGGUUGUGCAAGACAGAGGUGAAAUCCCCGGGCUUAACCUGGGAACUGCCUUUGUGACUGCACGGCUAGAGUGUGUCAGAGGGGGGUAGAAUUCCACGUGUAGCAGUGAAAUGCGUAGAGAUGUGGAGGAAUACCGAUGGCGAAGGCAGCCCCCUGGGCCAAUACUGACGCUCAUGCACGAAAGCGUGGGGAGCAAACAGG